UACGUAGGUGGCAAGCGUUGUCCGGAUUUACUGGGCGUAAAGAGCGCGCAGGCGGUCGUUUAAGUCGAGUGUGAAAGCCCCCGGCUCAACUGGGAGGGUGCGCCGAAUACUGAAUAACUAGAGUGCGGGAGAGGAAAGUGGAAUUCCUGGUGUAGCGGUGAAAUGCGUAGAUAUCAGGAGGAACACCGGUGGUGUAGACGGCUUUCUGGACCGUAACUGACGCUGAGACACGAAAGCGUGGGUAGCAAACAGG
rnacentral:rRNA from 1 species